CCUACCAGUUUAGUGGGUGGCGCAGUAUCCUAGUCAGUGCUGCCCUUCCUGAAGACGGGCCUAAAAAUCCGUCAAGGGCACAGCGAUGAAGUUCCUGGUGCUGGCUGCCGACGCCCAGUCGGGGGCUGGUGCUGGGAGUUAAGGAAGGGGGGCGAUCUACAAAGGCAUGUAGGCGUUGACCCUCCUUCCGCGGAGACCCAAGUGCGUGGGAAAGUCUACACUAGGGAUGAGUACUAUGGCUUGGGGUAUAAACCUGCAGUCGGUACAAAGGGUGCUGGCUGCAGCGUAGCCUGCCUUGAGUGGUUGUGGUGGAAACUGGCUGUUGAAACCACAACUGCAAAAGAGGCUAGGGAAGGGUGGGUGCUGUGGAGGAAAACUCCUAGGCUGUUUACCGCUUUGCUGGUAAGGCCUGCCAGGGAUUAAAGUGUGUGCUAAGUGGUGAUCCAGCUCUGUAUACGGCGACGUUACAGGGCAACCUUUAAAGGGGAACCGCCGCUUGCGGCGACGGGCGGUAGGUUGCCGGGAAAACCUGCUGGACCUAAGCCACAACGUUUACCUGGCAGGUCGCCACCCACUGUAGCGGUAAG
rnacentral:sRNA from 1 species